AUUGAACGCUGGCGGCAGGCCUAACACAUGCAAGUCGAGCGGAUGAAGGGAGCUUGCUCCUGGAUUCAGCGGCGGACGGGUGAGUAAUGCCUAGGAAUCUGCCUGGUAGUGGGGGAUAACGUCCGGAAACGGGCGCUAAUACCGCAUACGUCCUGCGGGAGAACGUGGGGGAUCUUCGGACCUCACGCUAUCAGAUGAGCCUAGGUCGGAUUAGCUAGUUGGUGGGGUAAAGGCCUACCAAGGCGACGAUCCGUAACUGGUCUGAGAGGAUGAUCAGUCACACUGGAACUGAGACACGGUCCAGACUCCUACGGGAGGCAGCAGUGGGGAAUAUUGGACAAUGGGCGAAAGCCUGAUCCAGCCAUGCCGCGUGUGUGAAGAAGGUCUUCGGAUUGUAAAGCACUUUAAGUUGGGAGGAAGGGCAGUAAGUUAAUACCUUGCUGUUUUGACGUUACCAACAGAAUAAGCACCGGCUAACUUCGUG
rnacentral:rRNA from 1 species